rnacentral:rRNA from 1 species
ACUCUGUCCUAAAGGAAGAUAAGGACGGUACUUGAGGAGGAAGCCCCGGCUAACUACGUGCCAGCAGCCGCGGUAAUACGUAGGGGGCUAGCGUUAUCCGGAUUGACUGGGCGUAAAGGGUGCGUAGGCGGUCUUUCAAGUCAGGAGUGAAAGGCUACGGCUCAACCGUAGUAAGCUCUUGAAACUGGGAGACUUGAGUGCAGGAGAGGAGAGUGGAAUUCCUAGUGU